rnacentral:lncRNA from 1 species
GUUAAAAAGCUAAAGUCUGAGCCACCUACAAAGGAGAUGUAACACAUUAAUAUUUUUUCUUAACAUAUUCGUUUUCGUUCUUGACAGUUUGUUAAAAAGCUAAAGUCUGAGCCACCUACAAAGGAGAUGAAGCUUCAGUUGAUACGAGAAAUCGCAGUUGAAGUAUUGGUGAAUGUUGCUUGUAUAAUGGAGAAAGCUGAUGAGACAUUGUUACCUGGUGUUUAUAAAGAAUUUGGCAAGGAUUUACAUACUGAUCCUACUUGUAUUGGUUCACUUACUCUCUUUAGAUCAUUGGUUCAAUGCAUUUGUUACCUCUUGGUUGUGUGUCUUUUUCCUCAUUAUAAUAGAGCUCAUGUUAUUGCUCUUGGUGGUUUUGUUUGGUCUGCUGUCACUUUCCCCGUUGUCCUCUCUUCGUACUUCACCGAUGUCCAUUAUGCAAUCUCCCUUUAUUUGAUGUUUAAUUAGUGAAAUGAUUUGAUACCCAAUUGCUGAUUCUUGAAUUUGGUUUAUUUUUGGUGUUUUCUUGAUUAAUUUUUU